GACGAACGCUGGCGGCGUGCUUAACACAUGCAAGUCGAACGGGAAGGCCCUGCGUUUGUGGGGUGCUCGAGUGGCGAACGGGUGAGUAACACGUGAGUAACCUGCCCUUGACUUUGGGAUAACUUCAGGAAACUCGGGCUAAUACCGGGUAUGAGCUCCUGCUGCAUGGUGGGGGUUGGAAAGUUUCGGCGGUUGGGGAUGGACUGGCGGCUUAUCAGCUUGUUGGUGGGGUAGUGGCUGACCAAGGCUUUGACGGAUAGCCGGCCUGAGAGGGUGACCGGCCUCAUUGGGCCUGAGGUACGGCCCAGAAUGGUACGGGAGGCAGCAGGGGAGAAUCUUGCACAAUAGGGCGAAGCGUGAUACAACAACGCUGGGUGCGGGAUAAUGGCUUACGAGUUAAGAACCUCUUUCGCCUGUGCCGAAGCGAAAGUGACGGUAAUGGAUAAAAAAGCAACGGCUAACUACGUG
rnacentral:rRNA from 1 species